UGCAAGUCGAGGGAGGGCCCUUCGGGGACCCGACCGGCGGACGGGUGAGUAACACGUGAGCGACGUGACCCUGUGCGGGGGACAACCCGGGGAAACCCGGGCUAAUACCGCAUGGACGGCGGGGCUACAUGGCUCUGCUGGGAAACCUGGCCUCUUCAUGAAAGCCGGGGUGCAGGGAGCGGCUCGCGGGCUAUCAGCUAGUUGGUGAGGUGACGGCUCACCAAGGCGACGACGGCUAGGGGGUCUGAGAGGAUGGCCCCCCACAUUGGGACUGAGACACGGCCCAGACUCCUACGGGAGGCAGCAGUGGGGAAUAUUGGGCAAUGGCCGCAAGGCUGACCCAGCGACGCCGCGUGUGGGAGGACGCCCUUCGGGGUGUAAACCACUGUCAGGGGGGACGAACGACGCUACGGUGAACAGUCGUAGCGGGUGACGGUACCUCCAGAGGAAGCGCCGGCUAACUCUGUGCCAGCAGCCGCGGUAAGACAGAGGGCGCGAGCGUUGUUCGGAAUCAUUGGGCGUAAAGCGCGCGCAGGCGGGUUCGCAAGUCGGGAGUGAAAUGCCGGGGCUCAACCCCGGCGCUGCUCCCGAAACUGCGAGUCUAGGGACCGGUAGGGGCCGGUGGAAUUCCCGGUGUAGCGGUGGAAUGCGUAGAGAUCG
rnacentral:rRNA from 1 species